rnacentral:rRNA from 1 species
ACUGCUAUCGAGGUUCGACUAAGCCAUGCGAGUCGAAUGUAGCAAUACAUGGCGUACUGCUCAGUAACACGUGGACAACCUACCCUCCGGACGGGUAUAAACCCGGGAAACUGGGUAUAAUCCCCGAUAGAUCUCGGUCGCUGGAAAGCCCCGAGAUCGAAAGCUCCGGCGCCAGAGGAUGGGUCUGCGGCCUAUCAGGUAGUAGUGGGUGUAGCGUACCUACUAGCCUACGACGGGUACGGGUUGUGAGAGCAAGAGCCCGGAGAUGGAUUCUGAGACACGAAUCCAGGCCCUACGGGGUGCAGCAGGCGCGAAAACUUUACAAUGCCGGCAACGGCGAUAAGGGGACCUCGAGUGCCAGGUUACAAAUCUGGCUGUCGUGAUGCCUAAAAAGCAUUGCAUAGCAAGGGCCGGGCAAGACCGGUGCCAGCCGCCGCGGUAACACCGGCGGCUCGAGUGGUAACCGUUAUUAUUGGGUCUAAAGGGUCUGUAGCCGGCCGGAUAAGUCUCUUGAGAA